AGGGCUGUGUUUCCUUGCGGCACUAACCACAGUUUGUUUUCUGCCGAGUUCUGUCGGCGCGUAUCACGAUUUCAAGUCAAAGAAGUGUGCCAUUCGUUGUUCCAGAAAACGACUCCCUCCAGCAUGUGGAUGAGAUGGCGAAACAUAUCCCAAUUAUUUCAUAUUAAAAGAAACCGCUUGUGAACUUGGACAAAAUAUCACAUUCGUUCACAGAGGACCUUGCAAAACUAAGCCAAAGACGUGUGCCGUUGCUUGUCCCAAAAUACUGCUUCCUUCAGUAUGUGGAUUAGAUGGCAAUACAUAUCCCAAUUACUGCAUAUUGGAAGAGACUGCUUGUCAAUUCAAAGAGACUGUCGCGGUUGCAGGCAAAGCACCUUGCAGAAAGUGAAAU